rnacentral:rRNA from 1 species
GGGUCAUUAGGUUGGUCGUGCCACCGGUACGUACUGGUCUCACUGAUUCCUCCUUCCUGAAGAACCGUAAUGCCAUUAAUUUGGUGUUGCGGGGAAACAGGACUGUUACUUUGAAAAAAUUAGAGUGUUUAAAGCAAGCUAAAGCUUGAAUACAUUAGCAUGGAAUAAUGAAAUAGGACGAUCGAUCCUAUUUUGUUGGUUUCUAGGAUUGACGUA